rnacentral:lncRNA from 1 species
GCCUCCUUUGCUUCUCCUAGAUGAGGGGGACUGCACACCCCAGCCUGGCUGCAGAGGGCUAAGCCCCAAAUACUGGAGUUAGCAGGUUGUGAUGGCUCUGAGUAGCUUCCCCUGAGUGGGAGCAGCCUAAGCUGGCUGGGGAGGACAGGAAUACUAACCUGAGCAGCCUGGUGCUGUGACAUGGCUCUGUGCUGGGAUGCAGCAGCUGCCUGUGCCAGCCUCGGGAGAGCUCAGCCUUGAGGGAGAUCAGGUUUUCUUCCUGUGGCUGGAGGAACCCAGCAACACAAGCCUUCGUCAGUGGCAAACAGUGAGUUUGUGGAGAAGAGAGCAGAGCUGAGCCAUACUGGAGAUGCUACCACAUCCUCAGCGCCACUUUGCCCAGGACACAAAUGUAGCUCUAAAGAAAAGCAUCAGUGGACCACAUCCCUCCUGCUGCUUGCUCAUCCUCGGAUUGAU